rnacentral:rRNA from 1 species
AUACGGAGGAUGCGAGCGUUAUCCGGAUUUAUUGGGUUUAAAGGGUGCGUAGGCUGUGCGUUAAGUCAGGGGUGAAAUGCCGUCGCUCAACGACGGAGCUGCCCUUGAUACUGGCGUGCUGGAGUACGGAUGCCGUUGGAGGAAUGAGAGGUGUAGCGGUGGAAUGCUUAGAUAUAACUCAGAACACCGAUUGCGAAGGCAUCUGACGAAUCCGUCACGGACGCUGAGGCACGAAAGCGUGGGGAUAGAACAGGAUUAGAUACCCUGGUAUUCCACGCCGUAAACGAUGAUGACUAACCGUCGGCGAUAGACAGCCGGUGGCCAAGCGAAAGCGAUAAGUCAUCCACCUGGGGAGUACGUCGGCAACGAUGAAACUCAAAUGAAUUGACGGGG